GGUCGUCGGCUAUCUCCUCCUCCCAGAUACGAUGCCGACAUCAAAGGCGGUACACCUCCCUCCCGUGCUUGCCUUCUCUAAUCAGCCCGCCGGAUCUCCGCCCCUGGCGGGCUUUUUGU
rnacentral:sRNA from 21 species